UGGGGAAUAUUGCACAAUGGGGGAAACCCUGAUGCAGCGACGCCGCGUGAACGAAGAAGGUAUUCGUAUCGUAAAGUUCUGUCCUAUGGGAAGAUAAUGACAGUACCAUAGAAGAAAGCUCCGGCUAAAUACGUGCCAGCAGCCGCGGUAAUACGUAUGGAGCGAGCGUUGUCCGGAAUUAUUGGGCGUAAAGGGUACGCAGGCGGUUUAAUAAGUCGAAUGUUAAAGAUCGGGGCUCAACCCCGCAAAGCAUUGGAAACUGAUAAACUUGAGUAGCGGAGAGGAAAGUGGAAUUCCUAGUGUAGUGGUGAAAUACGUAGAUAUUAGGAGGAAUACCAGUAGCGAAGGCGACUUUCUGGACACAAACUGACGCUGAGGUACGAAAGCGUGGGGAGCAAACAGG
rnacentral:rRNA from 1 species